UACGUAGGGUCCGAGCGUUGUCCGGAAUUACUGGGCGUAAAGAGCUCGUAGGUGGUUUGUCGCGUUGUUCGUGAAAACUCACAGCUCAACUGUGGGCGUGCGGGCGAUACGGGCAGACUUGAGUACUGCAGGGGAGACUGGAAUUCCUGGUGUAGCGGUGAAAUGCGCAGAUAUCAGGAGGAACACCGGUGGCGAAGGCGGGUCUCUGGGCAAUAAACUGACGC
rnacentral:rRNA from 1 species